rnacentral:rRNA from 1 species
UACGGAGGGUGCAAGCGUUAUCCGGAUUCACUGGGGUUAAAGGGUGCGUAGGUGGGCAGGUAAGUCAGUGGUGAAAUCUCCGGACUUAACCCGGAAACUGCCAUUGAUACUAUCUGUCUUGAAUACCGUGGAGGUGAGCGGAAUAUGUCAUGUAGCGGUGAAAUGCUUAGAUAUGACAUAGAACACCAAUUGCGAAGGCAGCUCACUACACGAAUAUUGACACUGAGGCACGAAAGCGUGGGGAUCAAACAGG